rnacentral:rRNA from 1 species
CGGGAGGCAGCAGUGGGGAAUAUUGCACAAUGGAGGAAACUCUGAUGCAGCAACGCCGCGUGGAGGAUGACGCAUUUCGGUGUGUAAACUCCUUUUAUAUAGGAAGAUAAUGACGGUACUAUAUGAAUAAGCACCGGCUAACUCCG